rnacentral:rRNA from 1 species
AUGGCGGCCUCCCCGUGGGCGCUCAUCCUCCUCCUGGCCGCGGCCUUCGCCGCAGGGACCGGCGCGACGACCUUCUCCAUCACGAACCGCUGCUCCUACGCAGUUUGGCUGGCGGCCAUCCCGGUGGGCGGCGGCAGGCGGCUCAACAGCGGUGACACGUGGAACCUCGAGGUCCCCGGCGGCACCAGCGCCGCCCGGAUCUGGGGCCGCACAGGCUGCAACUUCAACGGCGAUAGAGGGAGCUGCGCCACCGGCGACUGCGCUGGCGCGUUGCACUGUGGCCUGUCUGGCCGCCCGCCGGCGACACUUGCGGAGUUCAGCCUCGGCUCGCAGGACUACUACGACAUUUCGGUGAUCGACGGGUAUAACGUCCCCAUGGACUUCUCCUGCAGCACCGGCGUGGCGCUCCGGUGCCGGGACGCCGGCUGCUAUGAUGCGUACCAUCAGCCCAACGACAUCAGGACCAAAUCUUGCGGCGGUGGCAACAGGAGCUUCCGUGUUGUCUUCUGCCCAUGA